rnacentral:rRNA from 1 species
CCUACGGGUGGCAGCAGUGGGGGAUAUUGCACAAUGGCGGAAACCCUGAUCCAGCGCCGCCGCGUGUGGGAAGACGGUCUUCUGGAUUUUAAACCACUGUCCCCAGGGACGAAGAUGACGGUACCUGGGGAGGAAGCUCCGGCUAACUACGUGCCAGCAGCCGCGGUAAUACGUAGGGAGCGAGCGUUGUACGGAAUUACGGGGUGUAAGGGGAGCGUAGGCGGGGAUGCAAGUUGGGUGUAAAACCUACGGGCACAACUGGGAGUCGCACUCAAAACUGCAGCUCUUGAGUGAAGUAGAGGCAGGCGGAAUGCCUAGUGUAGCGGUGAAAUGCGUAGAUAUUAGGAGGAACACCAGUGGCGAAGGCGGCCUGCUGGGCUUUUACUGACGCUGAGGCUCGAAAGUGUGGGGAGCAAACAGGAUUAGAUACCCCUGUAGUC